GGAGAGGUGACCGAGUGGUUGAAGGUGCACGACUGGAACUCGUGUGUGUCGGAAACGGCACCGAGGGUUCGAAUCCCUCUCUCUCCG
rnacentral:tRNA from 1 species